rnacentral:rRNA from 1 species
UACGAAGGGUGCAAGCGUUAAUCGGAAUUACUGGGCGUAAAGCGUGCGUAGGCGGUUUCUUAAGUCUGCUGUGAAAUCCCCGGGCUCAACCUGGGAAUGGCGGUGGAUACUGGAUAGCUAGAGUGUGUCAGAGGAUGGUGGAAUUCCCGGUGUAGCGGUGAAAUGCGUAGAGAUCGGGAGGAACAUCAGUGGCGAAGGCGGCCAUCUGGGACAACACUGACGCUGAAGCACGAAAGCGUGGGGAGCAAACAGG